CAAACAAAAGGCCACAAGGGGCAAAAACAUAAACACAAAAAGAUUCUUAAUACACACAAGCAGGAACGCAGGCAGAAACGCACAAGCAGGACCAACGCGGGCAGAUACAUACAGUCAGAAACGAACACAAGGAACCAGCACCCGAGUCAAGGGGACAAAGAGACUUAAAUAGACAAGACACAGGUGAACUCAUUACAUAAUUAAACAAGCGGGAAGGGAUAACGAGAGGCAGGUGGGGACGAUGAUUAAAUAACAAGACAAAUAAUGGAAAACAAUAAUACAAUUAACAUGGGAAACCAAUGAGGGAAUGAACAGAAAUACAAAAACUGAGAAGUGCCGCCACCUGGCGGCCCAAAAAGGAAAAAAUAGAAACAAAAAGACAGAACCAUGACACAGUGUCUCCCUUGCUGAGAGCUCAGAGAAACACAGUCCACACUAACACACUCUGGAUCAUGAGCCAUACCCCACUGAUAAAUGGGCUUCAGUCAAGUGAACAAGAUCCUUCAUAAGAGUCAAACGGCACGAGAAAAGCAAAACGCCCUUAUCUACAACCACAGCAUUUCCUGGUCAGUUACAGGUUUGCAGUUCUCAGCCUGCAGUUCUUCUCACCAGGUUGAGUUUCAUUUAAAGACUACAGUAAACAUGUCAACGUGUCUCACCGCAGACUCAAAAGGGUGAGCAAGGUAAAAUGCAUGAACUCUUGUGGAGUUACAUUUUACUGCUUUUCAGAAUCAAUACCCAGUACGUUUAGUUGUUUUUUAUUGGUAUUUCUAUUUUUUCAAUGCAAUUUAAAAAUUUGCUGCUCCAGAUGAGUGAUGUGGAAAAGUACGUUCAGGUAAGGGCUGAGAAAGAUGGAGAGGCUUUGGACAAGGUGAUUAUGAUGUAGUCACAUGCUCUUUAACCCUCCUGUUAUCUUCAAAUUUACUAACAUCUUUUAUCCUGAGGGUCAAUUUGACCCCAGCAAUUUAAACCUCCAGAAAAUGAUUAUAAUUAAAAUUGUUACCAUGAGUUUGUGUCAGGUACUUUAUCAUCGUCUUUGUUGACUACCUAAAUAGCCCUUUAAAUAAAACAUAACCCCCCCACCCCCCCUUAUACAUCCAGAAUACCUAUUACGCGACUAUGAAAAAAUAUGCAAAUCACCAUAAAAUCUCACUGAUUGACCUAAAAUUGGAAAGAAAGAUCUUUUUGUUGUUUAAAUGUUUUUUCUCACUGUCCCCAAUUAUGUUUACCCAGUUGUCCCCAUUAAAUUAGGAAAAGUCAUUAAACAUGAAGCAAAAAAAUGAUGUCAAUCAUUUAUUUAGAGAUGUUAAACAUUGAAUGGGGUCAAAUUGGCCCCAAAGAUAAUAGGAGGGUUAAGACAACCAGUAUCAAAAUAGAUGUGUUACAGAACAUUAUGAAAUGAACCAAACAAGGUGAGAGCCAAUGUUGAGAAGGCCCAGGAGAGACAUAAGGAGGCCUACCAAAGGAGGACUAAGAAGGAGACCAAGUGCUUCAAGAUCUCUCCAGGCAUCGAGGUCCUGACGAAGGAUGGUAGGAAGUGUGGAGGGCCUGCGCGCACAAUGGAUCCUGAUUGGCCAACCAAAUAUAGGGUUACUGAGGUUGAGGACAACAACCUGGUGCAGCUGGAGACCAUGGAUGGAAAGCCACUGAAAACAAAAACAUCCUAUGCUUCAGUGAAACCCCUGCAUAUGAGAUCACAAGCAGGCCAACCCACCGAGGAGGCUGUACCCCCUCCAGCCGAGUCAGUGCAUUCAGAUGACCUGUAAUUGCACAGCUUUGAGUUGGAGGAGGACCCGCUUCAGAUGACAUGCACUGUACUCCAGGAAAUUGUGCAUCCUUUCCAGCUGAGGCAGGACAUUCAGAUGACCCCAAAAUACUGUGCUCUGGUUUGGAGGAGGGUGCACUGGAGGACAGUGACGUUGUCAUCACUGGUGUCCAAUGAGGGAAGGCCUGUGCGGCUUUGCUGAACAGACGGGUGGAGGACUUUGGGGCCGUAUUUCUCAGCCAGCACACAUGGUUGGAUGACAAGGUCAUCGACCACGCCCAGGCUCUUACGAAGAUGCUGCAUCCAUAUAUAGGAGGGUUCCAUGCAACCACCCUCCCUGCCGUCCACUGUACCUACACCAGGUCAGGGGUUUGUGAAGAUUCUUAAUAUCUCUGCAAAUCACUGGAUUAUGGUAAGUAACGUCAGCUGCAAGGUAGGUACAGUUAAUGUUUUUGAUUCUCUAGGGCAGCAGAAGACAGAGGAUUUCAUUGCACAGGUUACAUGCCUUCUUGCCUUUCCAGGGAAGAGUGUCCGGCUGCAGUGGCUUGAUGUCCAACAGCAGGCGGGUGGCUCAGACUGUGGACUGUUUGCUAUUGCAACAGUCUCACUCUGCAGAGUGCUCCAGUACCAUCAGCCAGCUAUGCAGACUCACAUCUUUGCUUUUCCGGCUGGAAUUCUGAUAUCCUUCCCCAGUACUGCAAGGUGCCCCACAGCCAAGGCAGUCCACACUAUUGAGGUGAACAUACACUGCCUCUGCAGACGGACCAACCAAAUUGGAAAAGGAUCCUCUGGUCUUCUGCAGGAGAUAUGCCUUUUCCUG